CCACUUAGGGAUGGGCCCGCGGCGCAUUAGCUAGUUGGUGAGGUAACGGCUCACCAAGGCGACGAUGCGUAGCCGACCUGAGAGGGUGAUCGGCCACACUGGGACUGAGACACGGCCCAG
rnacentral:rRNA from 1 species